rnacentral:rRNA from 1 species
CCUACGGGAGGCAGCAGUGAGGAAUAUUGGUCAAUGGACGAGAGUCUGAACCAGCCAAGUAGCGUGAAGGAUGACUGCCCUAUGGGUUGUAAACUUCUUUUAUAAAGGAAUAAAACGAGGCACGUGUGCCUUUUUUCAUAUAUUUUAUGAAUAAGGAUCGGCUAACUCCGUGCCAGCAGCCGCGGUAAUACGGAGGAUCCGAGCGUUAUCCGGAUUUAUUGGGUUUAAAGGGAGCGUAGAUGGGUUGGUAAGUCAGUUGUGAAAGUUUGCGGCUCAACCGUAAAAUUGCAAUUGAUACUGGCAGUCUUGAGUACAGUUGAGGUAGGCGGAAUUCGUGGUGUAGCGGUGAAAUGCUUAGAUAUCACGAAGAACCCCGAUUGCGAAGGCAGGUUACUAAGGUGUAACUGACAUUGAGGCUCGAAAGUGUGGGUAUCAAACAGGAUUAGAUACCCGAGUAGUC